rnacentral:rRNA from 1 species
GAGACCUCUGAUCARAGAAGAUCACCCGCUGAGUUUAAG